UGGGUGGGGCUGCGGGGGAGGCGGCGGGUGAGUGGAUAGAACCCUAACCCUUGAGGUUGGUAAAUGGGAAGCAAUCAGGUGCUUUCUCGCUGCCCCACUCCUUCAGAAUCGCUGAGGGGGACCAGAGAGAAGGGGCGGAUACAUCACAGGCGUGGCCCAGGGGGCCAGUUCCACUCUCUCAAAGUCCACACUGCUGGGCAUCUGCAGCCCCGAGGGGUCAUUUGAUAGGAGCCUCCCCCCGGGGGUCAGGCUGUAUUUGGAUUUUGCUGCUGCUGCUGGCUGGCCUGGAGGAAAGAGGCACCUGGAGGUCUGCCGCGUGGACCCAUUUGAUGCUGGAAAGCGUUACUCAAAGCAGGCCUUCCCUGGGAACCCACUAAUCACACUUAAAAAGCUUUCCUGCUUCCCCAAACUUUCAUCCUCCUGGACCAUCCGGUCUCCAGGCCCCGGCUUAAGGGCCCAGAAGGAGUUGCAGGGGAAAGUUGAUCCACAGGGGAGCCCGGUCCUCAGAGUUCUGAAGGCCCCUGGGGUGGUGGGACAGGCCUGGGCCUCCGGCGAUCUUCCCUGUACCCUGGGCGACUUCUGGGCUGUGUGUGCUGGGGACUGAGUCCUGACCUGUGACCCAGAUUCUGAGGCAAGGAAGAAGGCCGGACUCUUCCGGGAAGUGUGGACGGUCUAUGUGGAGGAGCUGUGUUCUUUCUGCUACACCAUACUGACGAGACGGCAAGCUCCUUCCCCAAGAAAGAAGGCUGAUGGAGGUUCCAGACACUUCCUCCUUCCUAAGGAAGAGUUCCUCGAGACAACACAGCUUACAAGGUGUUACCGAAUAGUUCAAAGGAAGCUGCGUUCAUGUUCACAUAAAGUGUUCAUAGGAAGCCUGCUUUUCUUCCUGUUUAUAUGAAGAAAGUAUAAACGUUGUAAAGCUGGGGUGGGGGGAAUCUUCAAAACACAAAAAUAAACAAUCUUCCUUCUGAAAGAUGUAUA